GCCUACAGCCAUAGCACCCAGAACGUGCCUGAUUUUGUCUGAUCUCCGAAGGAGGCAGGGCUGGGCCUGGUUAGUGCUUAGAUGGGAGAGAAGGUGCUUAGGAGCUGGUAAGCU
rnacentral:rRNA from 1 species